CCUGAAAUUUUAAAAAAGUUGCUCUCUCUUUCUUCAUUCUACUCUUUGCCUCUCUAUUCUUUCUCUCACUCUUCUGGUACAAAAGCCUAAGCUUCCACUUUCACACAGAAGUCGAAAAGAAGGCACUCUCCUGCUGACCUUCUUGCUUUCUUAUCAUACUGAGCUUGUUGUGUUUUAAUCUAAUUUAUUCAACUUCACUUGCUUGCACUUUACUGGUUGUCUUUCUUCUACUUCUCUGAGGGACAAUGACUAUGACUUUACCUUGGAGGAAAAAUUUUAUAGGAGUUGCGGUCGGAUAUGGUUUCUGGAUUGUUGAGCUCAUGCCCAGAUGGCAUGGGCAACAAUAAUGUUUCUCCACCAGCAAUUAAUCCUGGGAUUUUGCAGUCCACAUUUACUUGUGAAAAACUAAAGACGGCAACAGACAAUUUCUCUAUAGCCAACCUCCUUGGUCAAGAGAGUUUCGGAUAUGUCCAUUGGGGAGUCGUCACCAAUGGAAAAUUGGUUGCAAGCAAACAGCUAAAACCUGGUAGUCUACAAUGGGAAUGUGAAUUUCAGGCAGAGAUUGAGAUCAUCAGUUGUGUUCAACACAGAAAUCUUGUCUAUCUGGUUGGAUACCACAUUUCUGACGCCCAGACAUUGCUUGUUUAUGGGUUUGUUCCGAACAAAACCUUGGAAUACAUGGUGGCUGAUUUUGGACUUGCAAAGUACUCUUUUAAAUACUGAUACUCAUGUCUUUUACCCGAGACAUGGCAUCUUUUGGGUAAUGUACAAUUGUUGCCGCCUUUCACAAAAGUAGUGACCUAUAGUCUCGACCCAGUCCUCUGUCUCCUCUCAUAUACAUUCACCAAAAUGCAGUUACGUGGCUCCGUAUUAUGCUGCAUCUGGGAAGCUCAACGAUAAAUCAGAUGUCCUUUCCUUUGGGUUCUGCAACUGGAGCUGAUUUCUAGGAUCCUGCCUUUUUACAAAAAUCAUUUAUUUGUUAAUGAUGGCACUGUUGACUGGGAAAUAUGGCUGAAAAAAAAUUAUGAAUUUCCAAUUGCCCUUCUGCUCACAAAAGCUCUGGAACACCACCACUUUGAGGCUCUUGUUGAUUCGAAGUUGCAGUAUGACCCACGUGAAGUGGCUCGAAUGGUUCCUUGUGCUGCCUUUUGUGUACGCCAUUCAGAUAAGCAUUUUCUACGAAUGAUCCAGGUACGUGAAUUCCUAAGCCUUCAUCAUCAGGUUGAUUUCAUUUCAUUUAUUAUUGUCCGAUGAAGUAACCAAGUUUUAGAUGCAGUUUCAGUCAUUUGCAAAUUGACUUUUCAUUGCAACUAAAAGUGAUUUUAGGGAUUGAAUUGUAGGAUUGAACCCCCGAUAACCUCUAUGCAGCUAUCAUUCAGGCAUAUAUGUUAGUUGACACAGAAUUGAUGGCAACUGGAAUAAAAACAUGAGGAGAAAAAGUCUAGAUGACAGAGAUGAAAGUUGUCUAUUUCAGAGAGAUAAUCAAAUAAAAAUAGUACAUUUUAAUUAACUGAUAAAGACUCAAAUGGGACAUCACAUAAACUAUUGAACAAAGCAUUAAAUUGGUGGAUUGGAAGGAAGUAGGACACCCCCAUGUGACUACAUGAUUUCCAUCCACUAAACCAACAAAGCAAAGCAUGAUCUUCUACGAACCAACAUAAAAAAUAUAAAAUAUGGAAUAAUUGUCAUGUAACUACUACAAGUUUGGGACCACAUUGAAGACUUCUUUCAACUUAUUCUAAAAUACGAAACUUCCAGAGAAUGAAACUUUACAACUUGGGAUAGCUAAGUCCAUUGGUAAAGCCGUCAGUAACUUGAUCAUAUGUCGAACAAUAUUUUAUCUUGAUCAAUUAUUCAAUGACAAUUGUUCGAUUAAAGUGAUAGACGAAGCUUAAUAUAUUGUGUUCUUCAUGAAAUAGGAAUUCUUGUUCAUCAAAAUUGUUGUUUUGUUGUAAAAAAAAAAAAAUAAAUAAAUCUUCCUUGCUUUUUCAUGCUUUUGGUUCGAUGAUUGAUUCACAUGUAGGUAAUGUUGUACAUCAUUAACCAUCUUAUGUAUCUUUUUAAUGUUCAUGUGUCCUAACCAAAGGUGGUAAAGAUAUGUUUGAUUAAUGUUGGACAAUCUGAUUUUUUUAUUAUACAUUUAUUGUUUUGAAUCGUUAAUUGAUGACACAUUUGAUUUUUAAAUGUAUAAGUUAUUAAUAAUUAAUCUAGUACAAAUAAAUAACUUACCUCUUCUAAUGAUAAGAAGCCUACUAAAAUUAAAUUUCGAAUAAAUUUCUAUAUAUGGUAACAUUCUUCCAAAAUUACAUUGCCUUUCCCUUUCUUCUUCUCCACAAGAUAGGUUGGGCAAUUCCUUUUUCAAUGCCAAGCCUUCCCACUGUGAAAGUACUUGGCUUUCGGCUUGCUUUCUUUCUUAGUAAGAACCUUCUUGGGUGCUAUGUUGGCAUCCAAUUUUUUCUUUCUGUUUUCCUUUCUUAUGGGCGAAUUUGGAAGUGAAAGCUAUAGGAGGAUGACCUCUCCCCAUUUUCCCUUGAUGAUGUAUAACCCUUUUUGAGUCAUGCAUGGGGUCUUUAAAUUGUACACUAUGGUUUAGCUUAUAUUCUAACUUGAUCAAACAAAAAGAGUCAUUUAGUGAAGUCUUGGUCUAUAAUAGAACCAGGAAUUUUUGCCCUA